UGGGGAAUCUUGGACAAUGGGCGCAAGCCUGAUCCAGCCAUGCCGCGUGAGUGAUGAAGGCCUUCGGGUUGUAAAACUCUUUUGGCGGGGACGAUAAUGACGGUACCCGCAGAAUAAGCUCCGGCUAACUUCGUGCCAGCAGCCGCGGUAAUACGAAGGGGGCUAGCGUUGUUCGGAAUUACUGGGCGUAAAGCGUGCGCAGGCGGCUUCUCAAGUCAGGGGGGUGAAAGCCCAGAGCUCAACUCUGGAAUUGCCUUUGAGACUGAGUGGCUUGAGUACGAGAGAGGUGAGUGGAAUUCCCAGUGUAGAGGUGAAAUUCGUAGAUAUUGGGAAGAACACCGGUGGCGAAGGCGGCUCACUGGCUCGUAACUGACGCUCAUGCACGACAGCGUGGGGAUCAAACAGGAUUAGAUACCCUGGUAGUCCACGCCGUAAACUAUGAACGCUAGCCGUUGGGUAGCUUGCUAUUCAGUGGCGCAGCUAACGCAUUAAGCGUUCC
rnacentral:rRNA from 1 species